rnacentral:rRNA from 1 species
GAUGAACGCUGGCGGCGUGCCUAAUACAUGCAAGUCGAGCGAACGGACGCGAAGCUUGCUUCUCUGAUGUUAGCGGCGGACGGGUGAGUAACACGUGGAUAACCUACCUAUAAGACUGGGAUAACUUCGGGAAACCGGAGCUAAUACCGGAUAAUAUUUUGAACCGCAUGGUUCAAAAGUGAAAGACGGUCUUGCUGUCACUUAUAGAUGGAUCCGCGCUGCAUUAGCUAGUUGGUAAGGUAACGGCUUACCAAGGCAACGAUGCAUAGCCGACCUGAGAGGGUGAUCGGCCACACUGGAACUGGGACACGGUCCAGGCGCCUACGGGAGGCAGCAGUAGGGAAUCGUCCGCAAUGGGCGGAAGCCUGACGGAGCAGCGCCGCGUGAGUGGUGAAGGUCUUCGGAUCGGAAAACUCUGUUAUUAGGGAAGAACAUAUGUGUAAGGAACUGUGCACAUCUUGACGGUACCUAGUCAGAAAGCCACGGCUAACUACGUG